rnacentral:rRNA from 1 species
GACGAACGCUGGCGGCGUGCCUAAUACAUGCAAGUAGAACGCUGAAGGAGGAGCUUGCUCUUCUGGAUGAGUUGCGAACGGGUGAGUAACGCGUAGGUAACCUGCCUGGUAGCGGGGGAUAACUAUUGGAAACGAUAGCUAAUACCGCAUAAUAGUAGAUGUUGCAUGAUAUUUACUUAAAAGGUGCAAUUGCACCACUACCAGAUGGACCUGCGUUGUAUUAGCUAGUUGGUGGGGUAACGGCUCACCAAGGCGACGAUACAUAGCCGACCUGAGAGGGUGAUCGGCCACACUGGGACUGAGACACGGCCCAGACUCCUACGGGAGGCAGCAGUAGGGAAUCUUCGGCAAUGGACGAAAGUCUGACCGAGCAACGCCGCGGGAGUGAAGAAGGUUUUCGGAUCGUAAAGCUCUGUUGUAAGAGAAGAACGAGUGUGAGAGUGGAAAGUUCACACUGUGACGGUAGCUUACCAGAAAGGGACGGCUAACUACGUG